GGCCCUUUCGUCUAGUGGUUAGGACACAGGAUUUUCAUUCCUGCAACAAGAGUUCGAUUCUCUUAAGGGCUA
rfam:Weissella oryzae SG25 DNA, scaffold: sequence02.